AUGGCAGUUACGGAAAUGGCCAAUCUGGAUGCUGCAGAGGAAAAGGUAAAGAUACUCAUAUCUGGGAUUGGUCUAGUUUUGGAUAGACUGAUUAUGUUCGGGAAUGUGUAACGAUACUGUGGCAGCAAAAAGAAAAAAAAACUAUAAAAUAUCUGCCAUUUCCUUGUUCUAUUUUUUGUUUUGUUUCACAUCAACUCUUCUAAAAAAUAUGUAAAGAAGUGAUUUUUUUCCAAAUUGACAAAUCUCAUGAACGCUUUCAGAUACAUAAUAGAAUCUUUGUUUUAAGGUAUGUUUUCUUGACUUUUGACUCCGCGCAUCUUGCCCUAAUCUCUAGUCCAGGUAACAACUGUGGAAAUGACACCCACCCUUAUGGCACGGCAGCACACUACACAAACACAAGUAAUCCAUUAUGCCUUAAUACUGAGUAUGGUACAGCAGCACCAAGCAGCUUUGCCUACACCUUAUGGCAGAACCAAUGGGUCAGCUUUGUAGUAGCGUAUUCAGCCAUAUUUAGAGAGUAGAGGUAUUCAUGUUCUAAAUGGACUUUCGCUACUGAACCUGGACAGGUUCAAGCUGAGCUACAAAGUAUCUAAAUCCUAGCCAGUGUGUGUUCACACACACGUAUACAAACUAAAUUUUGCUACUAGAACAGCCAAGCAAAAAAAGUGACCAAGACUUGCCUUUACAGAUGGGAACUCUCUUUAUUUACGGCAUUGUUCAUAUCUGCCGCACUCGACAGCCACCAUGGUUGGUUUGCCUUCCUCCUUUGAAGCAGAAAGAAAUAGCUAGUUUAGCACUGCUUUGAGUUGCCUCCAAAUACAUAUCACCUAUUGCAAUGCCACGACAUUACAACCAUGGUUCAUCUCUGCCAUCCUAAUGUGUUUCCCAUCAGGUUCUUUACCAAGGAAAGGGGGUAAUAAAUGCAAUAAUAAGUAGGCAUAAUUAGCCUUAUAACAUAUCUGAACUGUGUAGAUUCCAAGUAACAUCAACAUUGUGACUUCACCAAGGGGGCUUGCGUAUUAUUGUUGUUUCCAACACCUUAGUGUUCUUGGAUGAUCUGUUGCAUCUGAAAUUUAUUUUGUGCCUGUGAGGAAGAUUCUGAUAGAAGAUGCAGUGUAAUAUAAUCGUUAGAGGCAAUAACAAAUGCAUGUUUCUGUUGCAAUGUUUGUGCCACACAUUGUGCUGGUUCAACAUCUUUUUCUGUUGCUUAAGCAUGCUACUUGAGUACUAUACUGCAGCAACAUCAUUCAUAUCUAAUGAAACACCAAUGUGGUUUAUUGAUCAACAUAAUACAUCUCAAGCGAGAGGUGCUGGCUGGAAGUAUGAUUUUUCUGUUUUUUUUAUGCUGUACCUCUACUGAAAUAUGUGACGGGCUGUGAGAAAGGAAGUAGGCGGAGGAUGGGAUCCCACGUAUACGAAGAGAAGUUAUUUCCCAUAUUGGAGAUCAGUGUUAGAAGCCCGGUUUCCUGUGAGGGUAUAUCCAGCCUAUGCAAGCUCAGAUCCUAGGUCUGGUCUUAAACCUGGACAACUACGUGUUUCUCUGAGUAAGAACUUAAUAAUGGCCAAUGGAUCUACUCCAACUCAAAAUUAUAGACCUGCUCCAGUGCCAAGAAUCUCGCCACUUACAAGCAAUAAUCAACCCAGAAGGUGCUUUAUCACUGCUGCUACUGGUGCGUUCAGGCUCUUGAAGGUGCUAAAGUAGAGUAGAAAGGUAUGCCGGGAGUUUCGUCUCCCUGAAUCCUUGUCCCAAGUUUUCUGAAUAUGCCCCACAUAAACACAUGGGAAGAAAGAAUUUGCGUGAUGCACCUUUAACUAGUAAGAUUAUUCGUUGAUCGUUCAUUAAGGAUUGGUGAUUUGCUAGAUAGGGUUAGGUAUUCUAUUAUUGUGUAUUUUUCCUUGCUGUUGUAAGUUUGUAGUCCAGGUUCUUCUACUUCAAGGGCUACGCCAAGUUUGGGUAUGUUUGCUUGCUUAGCAACGUGCAGCCCUGCUGUUAUUUAUUUCCUCCAACUGGUCCAUGUGCAGAUAAUUCAGAUGAUAGUGACAUAUAAAUACUUGUGGAUGUGAAGCAAUAGAGAGUUCCACAUGAUUUCUAGUAUGUUUUAUUUUCUGAAGGCAUUCUCAGCCCUGGGAAUAUACAACACAUUUUAUCCUAUGGAUAGGGAUGGUAUUAGUCAACCAAACACCCAACACUUGUUAAUGCAGUAGGUAAUUAGCUAACUAAACCAUGUUAAAGAUGCACUCAUAAUGAGCGUUUUCUAUUGAUGCUCACAGACAUGAGAGUUUUUUUUUUACGAUAAUUAUUUUGACACACACUACUCAACUCCAUGUCAAAAUAUGGACUCUUGAGACGAAGAGUAAUAGUGAACAUGCUAGAUAGAUGUGUAAGCAGCACUGUAUUAUUGCAGCCCAAAAGACAGGUUCAAAAUACUACAUGAACAGCGACCUGUCGUUCAGAAAGGAACGAUACCAAGGGGCUUGUAUAUCUAUGGAACAAACAACUUGUUUUUCCUUGCUUAUAUGGCAGAUGGCUCUGGAUGUUGUUUACUCUUCUCUGAGGUCAGUUUCAUCUUCUUUGUGAUCUUUUGGAGGAAAUAGCUCCUUUGCAAUGUGGCUGCAUGACAUGAAGACAUCAGUUCAUCAGUGUUAGCUCCUUUGCAAGCUGCAUGACAUGAAAACAUCAAUUUAUCAGUGUUCUGUGCGUUCAAUCGUUCCAUUGAUUAUUAUAAUCUCAUUUUACUCACCCUCUUUUGAUUUCUUGCCUUUAGGUAGAUCAUGGACCACUGGCAGUAUUUUAAUCGGUGGGGUGUAAGUUCACUCAAGAAUUCAAGUGGAUGGGUCGAUGUCAGUGUUUGGUUUUUUUCUGUUGCGAGUAACACAUCUUGAUGCUCAGUGUGAUCAAUAGAGGGCAGAGUAGUAAGCGGAUCGGAUUGAAGUUGUUCGCUUGCUUGCAGCGAAGAGGACGAAAACUGCUCGAUGUAUUGUGACGUCGAUGCAUCUGCGAGAGGCAACGGAGCUAUCGGUGGCCCGUCCUGUAGAUGUAGAUGUUCUGUUGCUUGCACUUGUAAAUAGUACCGUAUUUGUUGUUGUGUUGCAGGACAUGGCCUUUGUCUAUGUUUGAUCUAAACAACAGUCACAUUUUGGAAUAUUGAUUGACACAUUGUAUUAUUUGGCUCAUGCUAAUAGUCCAUAUAUUUAAGUACUGGAAGGGAACUGUGAAACCAAA
rnacentral:lncRNA from 1 species